UAAGGAAUAUUGCGCAAUGGGGGAAACCCUGACGCAGCAACGCCGCGUGGAGGAUGACACUUUUCGGAGCGUAAACUCCUUUUAUCAGGAAAGAAUAAUGACGGUACCUGAUGAAUAAGCACCGGCUAACUCCGUGCCAGCAGCCGCGGUAAUACGGGGGGUGCAAGCGUUACUCGGAAUCACUGGGCGUAAAGGACGCGUAGGCGGAUUAUCAAGUCUUUUGUGAAAUCUAGUGGCUUAACCACUAAACUGCUUAGGAAACUGAUAGUCUAGAGUAGGGGAGAGGUAGAUGGAAUUCUUGGUGUAGGGGUAAAAUCCGUAGAGAUCAAGAAGAAUACCCAUUGCGAAAGCGAGCUGCUGGAACCUAACUGACGCUGAGGCGUGAAAGCGUGGGUAGCAAACAGG
rnacentral:rRNA from 1 species